GACGAACGCUGGCGGCGUGCCUAAUACAUGCAAGUAGAACGCACAGUUUAUACCGUAGCUUGCUACACCAUAAACUGUGAGUUGCGAACGGAUGAGUAACGCGUAGGUAACCUGCCUGGUAGCGGGGGAUAACUAUUGGAAACGAUAGCUAAUACCGCAUAAUAUUGAUUAUUGCAUGAUAAUUGAUUGAAAGAUGCUAUUGCAUCACUACCAGAUGGACCUGCGUUGUAUUAGCUAGUAGGUGAGGUAACGGCUCACCUAGGCGACGAUACAUAGCCGACCUGAGAGGGUGAUCGGCCACACUGGGACUGAGACACGGCCCAGACUCCUACGGGAGGCAGCAGUAGGGAAUCUUCGGCAAUGGACGAAAGGCUGACCGAGCAACGCCGCGUGAGUGAAGAAGGGUUUCGGAUCGUAAAGCUCUGUUGUAAGAGAAGAACGGGUGUGAGAGUGGAAAGUUCACACUGUGACGGUAUCUUACCAGAAAGGGACGGCUAACUACGUG
rnacentral:rRNA from 1 species